UACGUAGGGUGCAAGCGUUGUCCGGAAUUAUUGGGCGUAAAGAGCUCGUAGGCGGUUUGUCGCGUCGGCUGUGAAAACCUGGGGCUCAACCCCGGGCCUGCAGCCGAUACGGGCAAACUAGAAUUCGGUAGGGGAGACUGGAAUUCCUGGUGUAGCGGUGAAAUGCGUAGAGAUCGGGAGGAACACCGGCGGCGAAGGCGGCUGCCUGGACCAGUCCUGACGCUGAGGCGCGAAAGCGUGGGGAGCGAACAGG
rnacentral:rRNA from 1 species